AGCGGAGGAAAAGAAACCAACAGGGAUUGCCCCAGUAACGGCGAGUGAAGCGGCAACAGCUCAAAUUUGAAAUCUGGCCCCCUAGGGGGUCCGAGUUGUAAUUUGCAGAGGAUGCUUUUGGCGAGGCGCCGGCCGAGUGCCCUGGAAUGGGACGCCGUAGAGGGUGAGAGCCCCGUACGGCCGGACGUCGAGCCUCUGUAAAGCUCCCUCGACGAGUCGAGUAGUUUGGGAAUGCUGCUCUAAACGGGAGGUAAACCCCUUCUAAAGCUAAAUACCGGCCAGAGACCGAUAGCGCACAAGUAGAGUGAUCGAAAGAUGAAAAGCACUUUGAAAAGAGAGUUAAACAGCACGUGAAAUUGUUGAAAGGGAAGCGCUUGUGGCCAGACUUGCGCCCGGCGGCUCAGCCGUCCCUCGUGGGCGGUGCACUCCGCCGGGCUCAGGCCAGCAUCAGCUCGCUGCUGGGGAGAAAGGCGGUGGGAACGUGGCUCUUCGGAGUGUUAUAGCCCGCCGCCAUGCCCUCCAGCGGGCUGAGGUUCGCGCCUUAGGGCAAGGAUGCUGGCGUAAUGGCCAUCAGCGACCCGUCUUGAAACACGGACCAAGGAGUCGUCCUAGCAUGCGAGUGUUCGGGUGCCAAACCCCUACGCGAAAUGAAAGUGAACGGAGGUGAGAGCUUCGGCGCAUCAUCGACCGAUCCUGAUGUUUUCGGAUGGAUUUGAGUAGGAGCAUGCUGGGCCGGACCCGAAAGAAGGUGAACUAUGCUUGGAUAGGGCAAAGCCAGAGGAAACUCUGGUGGAGGCUCGCAGCGGUUCUGACGUGCAAAUCGAUCGUCAAAUCUGAGCAUGGGGGCGAAAGACUAAUCGAACCUUCUAGUAGCUGGGUUCC
rnacentral:rRNA from 1 species